GCUCUAACUUAACCAAGAUAAAUAAAUAGGUGUAAAUAGGAAAGAUGGUAGAAUCGAAUAAGAACAAUGUUAAAGGUAAGAUAACAGUGAGUGAUAAUAUGGGAAUAGAGAGUAGAGCAAUUCUAGUAUAUGGGUGAUGGUAGCAGAAUAGAGAGGAUAACUAUGGUUUCUCUACUUCAAAGGGGUAUGUCUAUGUUUGGGACGAACCACGUGAUAAGAGUACACCACAAAGGAUGCUUAUCCUUAGGCCGGUAA
rnacentral:lncRNA from 1 species